CUACGGGUGGCAGCAGUAGGGAAUUUUCGGCAAUGGGGGGAACCCUGACCGAGCAAUGCCGCGUGAAUGAAGAAGGUCUUCGGAUUGUAAAGUUCUUUUAUUUGGGAAGAAAGGUACGAUUAGGAAAUGAGUCGUAUUUGACGGUACCAAUUGAAUAAGCCCCGGCUAACUACGUGCCAGCAGCCGCGGUAAUACGUAGGGGGGCGAGCGUUAUCCGGAAUUAUUGGGCGUAAAGAGUGCGUAGGCGGUCUGUUAAGUCACUUGUAAAAGAUCUCAGCCCAACUGAGUAGGGCGAGUGAAACUGGCAGACUUGAAUACGGUAGAGGUAAGUGGAAUUCCAUGUGUAGCGGUGGAAUGCGUAGAUAUAUGGAGGAACACCAAUGGCGAAGGCAACUUACUGGGCCGGAAUUGACGCUGAGGCACGAAAGCGUGGGGAGCAAACAGGAUUAGAUACCCGUGUAGUC
rnacentral:rRNA from 1 species